GAAGUCGGUCAGGCAGCCGCUGGGCAACAGGGUCAAAACCUCGCGCCGAGAGGAAAGUCCGGGCUCCGCAGAGCAGGAUGCCGGUUAACGACCGGGCACCGUGAGGUGACGGAAAGUGCAACAGAAAGCAGACCGCCGAUGUCCGCAAUCAGGCAACUGAGCGGGCAGGCAAGGGUGAAACGGCGAGGUAAGAGCUCACCGCGGACGUGGUAACACGGACGGCACGGCAAACCCCAUCCGGAGCAAGGCCAAAUAGGGAAGCAUCGGCGUGGCUCGCGCUGCUUCCGGGUAGGCUGCUUGAACGUGCUGGCAACAGUACGUCUAGAGGAAUGGCUGUCCACGACAGAACCCGGCUUAUCGAUCGGCUUCCCAC
rnacentral:RNase_P_RNA from 1 species